rnacentral:lncRNA from 1 species
CCGGCCAUAGCAAGAACAAAGGGAGAAAAGAAAGAACAAGAACCCUAGGGUGAAAAUUCAAGAGAAAAAUUAGUGGAUUUCAAGUAAUCAAGCAAUCAAAGGUAAAAUUUCUUGAUUUUGACUUGUGAUCUACCUUUCCCAUGCAUUAUUUUGCAUUUUCCAUGGUUGAAUCACAAGAUAUCAUGGUGAAUUCAUGGCUAGCCGAAUGGGUAUGGAGAGAGAAUGAUGUUGGAUUGAUUUGAUUUCAAGUUAUGUUAGUGUUUUUAGUUAGUUUACCAUGUUUAGAAGCAAAACAACAAGAAAAGGAUUCAUUUUUCCCAUCACCCAUCAAUGGCCGAACCUACCUUGUAUUGAGUGAGGAUGAAAUUGAUUUUUCAUUUUAAGAGAAUUAGUUAGAAAAUGAUGAAUUAUGGUGUGGAAAAGUAGUAGGAAAAAUCACGGUGUUAAUGCACCAUUAUUGACCGAAAAUUCUAAGAAGAAAAGUGAAGAUGGUUUUGCCAAAUUUUAGGUUAUUUGACUUGUGUUUGGUGAAUUAAGGUAUUGGAAAAGAAAUGGAGCAAUUUGGAGCUAAAUUGGACGCGUUGACCAAUUAAUCGGGUGAUAAGAUGAAUUAGGCCAAUACUGGGUUUAGAUGGUUACCCGUGCAUUUUGCAUUCCAUAUCAUGCAUUAAUAGUUUAAAUUAGUUUAAUUUCGAUUUAGUACCAAUGUAGUAAGUUUAUCGAUUUUGUACUAUGUCAAGGUGGUGAGUCCUCCGAUAAAGGCAAGGAAAUUGCAUUCGAGGACCAGUAGUUAGAGUACUUCAAAAAUUCGCACUCUAGACAUUGUGAGUAACCUUACUAUCGUCUUAAUUAUUUAGAGUGGUUUUUAUCCAAUUUUGUGAUUUUAUGGAAAAUGAGUUUAAAUGGUAAAUUUUUAGGUUUUAUAAACAAAAAUGUGUUUAAAUAAAAUGAUUUCAUAAAAUUGUUCUGAAAUUGAAUGAUGGCUUCGCAAAUAGAGUAAAUGGAGACCAUUUGAUGUAUUGUGAAUUUAUGGUUCUAAUUGAUUGGCUUAUGACAAUAUUGGCAUGAAUGGUUGAAUUGGUAUUUGUGUUGAAAUGUAUAAGCUAUUGUUUGCCUUGAUAGGCUGAAUAAUGAUAAAAUUGCCAUAUCAUACUUGCAAAUUUUAUUGUAUGGUGGGUUUAGCUUGCUGCAGUGGGCUGAUUCUGUGGACCAACCUAUUAGAGGGGCACGGAACUUGGUCAUAUAUAUGUACCUCGAUUGGAGAGGUGCGUAGGGUAACUCCCGAGGUCAAACUUUAGAGUUCACUUCACGCCCAACCACCAUGCGAGGGGAACUCGGCUAACGUCAAGGAACGGCUAUGUUAUCAAAAUAAAAACAUGAUUUAUGCGUACAUAACUUCUUAACAGCCUUGGCGGACUCGGUUGGGAUAGCCCUCGAUCAAGGCAUCCCUGAUAACUGG